rnacentral:rRNA from 2 species
CGUAGUGACCUGCGGAGGAUCACUA